rnacentral:tRNA from 1 species
GCUUUGGUGGUGGAAUAGGUAGACACGCGGGACUUAAAAUCCCGUGGGCAGCAAUGCCCGUACGGGUUCGAUUCCCGUCCGAAGCA